UAUCCCGCUAUCCCGGUGUGUAUCCCGCUAUCCCGGUGUGUAUCCCGCUAUCCCGGUGUGUGUUGCUAUCCCGGUGUGUAUCCCGCUAUCCCGGUGUGUAUCCCGCUAUCCCGGCGUGUAUCCCGGUGUGUAUCCCGUUAUCCCGGUGUGUAUCCCGUUAUCCCGGUGUGUAUCCCGCUAUCCCGUUAUCCCGGUGUGUAUCCCGUUAUCCCGGUGUGUAUCCCGCUAUCCCGGUGUGUAUCCCGUUAUCCCGGUGUGUAUCCCGUUAUCCCGGUGUGUGUUGCUAUCCCGCUAUCCCGGCGUGUGUUGCUAUCCCGCUAUCCCGGUGUGUGUCCCGCUAUCCCGGUGUGUAUCCCGCUAUCCCGGCGUGUCCCGGCAGGCGCACGGUGCAGGACCGGCAGACGGGGGCGGAGCUGCCGCUCUCCGAGGAGCAGCUGGAGCUGAUCCGGCGCCUCCAGCGCGGAAACUUCGGAGACGUCAACUUCGACCCCUACGAGCCGGCCGUGGAUUUCUUCAGCCACGAGGUGCGGAUCCACCCGGUGACCAACCGGCCGGCGGACAAACGGAGCUUCAUCCCGUCCCUGGUGGAGAAGGAGAAGGUCUCCAAGCUGGUGCACGCCAUCAAGAUGGGCUGGAUCCAGCCCCGGAAGCCGAAGGAAAACGUUCCCACUUUUUACGACCUGUGGGCGCGGGAGGAUCCCAACUCGGUGCUGGGCCGGCACAAGAUGCACGUUCCCGCUCCCAAAAUCCCGCUGCCGGGCCACGCCGAGUCCUACAACCCCCCCCCGGAAUUCCUGCUCAGCCCCGAGGAGAAGCUGGCCUGGGAGCAGCAGGAGCCGGCCGAGCGGCGCCUCAACUUCAUCCCGCAGAAAUUCCGGAGCCUCCGCGCCGUUCCCGCCUAUUCCCGCUUCAUCCACGAGCGCUUCGAGCGCUGCCUCGACCUCUACCUCUGCCCCCGGCAGCGCAAGAUGCGGGUGGGCAUCCCAAAUCCCGGAAAAAAACCGGGAAUGCCCGGCCGGAGCCGGGAGCGGUUUCCCGGGAAGCUGCGGAGGGCGGGGAGCAGCCGGGAUUGAUGCGGCGUCCAUCCCGCAGGUCAACGUGGAUCCCGAGG
ensembl:lncRNA